rnacentral:lncRNA from 1 species
UGUUCCGAUGAGCCAAUGUUUAGAGGACGAGUGGUUUGCUUGGUGACUUGCUUUGUGUGAGUGCAUUAUAUCGAUGAUGGGGCCCUUGUACAAAGUCAUGAGCAAUGCUCCAGAAAAGGUCACCAGGGUUCCAAUGAUCUUGGCUUGAGUACGUGUCUCCUUAAUUUUUAUGUGCUCUAAUCUGAUCAUGACAUAAUUCCAUAUGCAUUAGAGUCUCCAUGCAGAAGAGGAAGAUGCAUUGCAAAACGCAUUAGCAAAUGCUAUAUUUAUAUAGUUUUGUGCAUAUAAGUACAAGGCAGUACAUGAUCGCAGUGGUCCUUACCGAAAAAUAAUCGCCAUAACAAAAGUAACAGCCGGAACAGCAUUCAUAAUGGCGGAUGCAUAUGAGGCUGAUGUGUAUUGCAUUCCCAAGUAGGAUAAGUUCUGAUCAACAAUUGGCCUGUUAACAAUCAAGAAUAAUUAGUUCUUGUUUUGGUUCAGGUAAUCUUCAACUUUGAGGACAUUUUUGAACUAGUAUUAUAUAUGUAUUUG